rnacentral:lncRNA from 1 species
AUUCUGAUUCUAGACACGAACCAAACGCUUUAGAGGAUUAGGCCAUUCCGAUUUCAAUUCCAAUCCAUUUCGAUUUUGAUUUCUAUUCCGAUUUCGAUCGCGAACCAAACACCCCCUAAAUUUUAAGUUUUUUAAGAGAGAAAGCUAAUCAGACUUAUUAUAGAAAUAUUAAAUUUUUUAAUUAGUAUUAUUGUGAGAGAUUUCUUGUAGUCUAACAACGUUAGAACCCUUUCUCUAAAUAAUUACUAUGAGUUUUAAGUCUUUCAAGAGAGAAAACUAAUCAGAUUUAUUAUAAAAAUAUUAAAUCUUUUAAUUAGUACUGUUGUAAGAGAGACUCGCUGAUCGAGAUUAAUCCUCCAAUGGAGCACAUCCAAAAU